UCAUCAUUUGGCCAUAUUGACAUAUUUUUGCUGAAAGGAUUUAGUAGAGAACAUCCACCAUAAAGUUGGCAACUUUUGGUGGCUGAUAAAAAAGCCUUGCCUGUAGCAGACGAGUAGCGUGACGUCAGCUUGUGGAGCUCCUCACAUCCAAACAUUGUUUACAAUCAUGGCCACCAGCAGCCAGAGACAUUCGGACCGAGAAAGCCACGAUUAAUUUGAGCGAGGAUGAAAGAUUUGUGGAUGAGGAAAGUGAGAGUGAAGGACUAGAAGGCAGUGGAAGAUGCUGUGAGACCUGAUAUUCAGCUGGGAAUGACUAAAACAGUAAAUAAACACAAGGCAUAUACACUCUUAGAAAUAAGGGUUCUAAAAGGGUUCUUCUACAAGGGCUGAGGUUCUAACUGGAACCAUUUGCUUCUGAAAAACCCUUUCCCGAAGAAAGGGUUUUUCAAGGGUUCUUGGUAACGCUAAUGGUUCCAGUAAGAACCAUUUUGAUCCAGAGAACCCUUUAAAACCCCUUUUCUGAAUAAUUGGUUUUAAAAGGGUUCUCACUAACACUAAGGGUUCCAGUAAGAACUAUUUUGAUCCAGAGAACCGUUUUUGGAAGAAAGAGUUCUUCAGGGAUUGUUGAAAGCAUGGGCAAGAUCCUGUGUCACCAGGGACAUACUUCCUGAUAACAUUUGCCAAUAAUGGUGCCUAUCUUUAAAUAAAUGUUUUUCUCAUUCAAAUGUUUGUUCAAUGUCAACAUGAUAAAUGACCACAAUAUAAUAUGAACUAAACUGAUCUGUAGAAUACAAUAUGGUUCUUUAUAGAACCCUCAGAAGACAAGACGGUUAUCGGUGAAAACCUUUGAAAAGGGAUGUUUUUAGAACCCCCUGUGUCAGGUCUAGAUGAAACCCUUGAAACAUGAAAGAGUUCUUUGUGGAACUCCCUGUGUGGGUUCUAGAUGAAACCCUUGAAACAUGAAAGGGUUCUUAGUGGAACUCCCUGCAUGGGUUCUAGAUGAAACCCUUGACAAACAAAAGGGUUCUUAGUGGAACUCCCUGUGUGGGUUCUAGAUGAAACCCUGGAAAUACGAAAGGGUUCUUAGUGGAACUCCCUGCGUGGGUUCUAGAUGAAAGUCUUGAAAUACAAAAGGGUUCUUAGUGGAACUCCCUGUGUGGGUUCUAGAUGAAACCCUUGAAACAUGAAAGGGUUCUUAGUGGAACUCCCUGCGUGGGUUCUUUGUAGAACCUCUCAUGGGGGGUUCUGGGUGGAACCUUACACACACAGUUCUAGGUAGAACCCUCCAAAAGGGUUCCAGGUGGAACCUUUAUAAAAAGGUUUUACCUGGAGCCAAAAAGGGUUCUCCUAUGAGGACGAGCCGAAGAACCUUAUAUGGUUCUACUUAGCACUUUUAUUUCUAAGAGUGUAUAUACUCUAUUAGCCACAACACAACCAGGCUUAUAUUUAAUAUGCCACAAAUUAAUCCCGCAUAACAAACAUCUCCCCCCUCCCGUCCAUAUAACCCGCCAAUACAACUCAAACACCUGCACAACACACUCAAUCCCACAGCCCAAAGUACCGUUCACCUCCCCAAAGUUCAUACAGCACAUAUAUUUCCCCAAAGUUACGUACGUGACAUGCACAUAGCGGCACGCACGUACGGGCAAGCCAUCAAAUGUUUGGAAGCGUACUCACGGUACCGUGUCUGUGUAUCCAACUCAAAGUCCUCCUGGUAAGAGUCUCUGUUGUCCCAGUUCUCCACAGGCCAAUGGUAAAGCUUGACUGUCAUCUUCCGGGAAUGUAAACAAUGAAACACCGGCUGUGUUUGUGUUGCUGCAGUCGGCCGCAAUACACCGCUUCCCACCUACAGCUUUCUUCUUUGCUGUCUCCAUUGUUCAUUGAACACAUUGCAAAAGAUUCACCAACACAGAUGUCCACAAUACUGUGGAAUUUUGCCAUGAAAACAGACGACUUAAUAGCUGGCCACCAUGCUGUCCCAAAACGUCCUCCACAACCUGUGACGUCACGCGCUGACGUCAUCAUACCGAGAUGUUUUCAGCAGGAUAUUUCGCGUGAAAUUUAAAAUUGCACUUUAGUUGCAUGUGUUGCAAUGUUAAGAUUUCAUCAUUGAUGUAUAAAGUAUCAGACUAGUAGUGACUUUCAGUAGGCCUUGAAGUCUCUGGAUCAACUUCCAAUCUAUUAACUUUGUAUGUUUUAUGCCCUUUUUGUCAGGAAAAACAUGUUUUAUCAAGUCAACAAUUAUAAAAAAACAAACAAAAAAAAAAGAUUAAUUCAUCAUCAUUUUUGUGAGCAAUGAAAGUUUUUAAAAAAAUGACACUAAAAUUUUAGGGGAUCCAAAAGAGUCCCAUCAUAAAAGUGUUCAAAACAAGUCUUUUUUUUUUUUUUU